UACGUAUGGUGCAAGCGUUAUCCGGAUUUACUGGGCGUAAAGGGGGCGCAGGCGGCGCGCCAAGUCUGAUGUGAAACCCCGGGGCUCAACCCCGGGCAUGCAUUGGAAACUGGCGGGCUGGAGUGCCGGAGAGGUAAGCGGAAUUCCUAGUGUAGCGGUGAAAUGCGUAGAUAUUAGGAGGAACACCAGUGGCGAAGGCGGCUUACUGGACGGCAACUGACGCUGAGGCUCGAAAGCGUGGGGAGCAAACAGG
rnacentral:rRNA from 1 species